rnacentral:tRNA from 1 species
UCCCUGGUGGCUCAGUGGUAAAGAAUUUGCCUGCCAAUGCAGGAGAUACAGGUUUGAUCCCUGGCCAGGGAA